rnacentral:rRNA from 1 species
UACGUAGGGUCCGAGCGUUGUCCGGAAUUAUUGGGCGUAAAGGGCUCGUAGGCGGUUUGUCACGUCGGGGAGUGAAAACUUGGGGCUUAACCCCAUUCGUGCUUCCGAUACGGGCAGACUAGAGGCAGGCAGGGGAGAACGGAAUUCCUGGUGUAGCGGUGGAAUGCGCAGAUAUCAGGAGGAACACCGGUGGCGAAGGCGGUUCUCUAGUACGGUACUGACGCUGAGACGCGAAAGCGUGGGGAGCGAACAGG